AUUGAACGCUGGCGGCAUGCCUUACACAUGCAAGUCGAACGGUAACAGGCCGCAAGGUGCUGACGAGUGGCGAACGGGUGAGUAAUACAUCGGAACGUGCCCGAUCGUGGGGGAUAACGCAGCGAAAGCUGUGCUAAUACCGCAUACGAUCUACGGAUGAAAGCGGGGGAUCGCAAGACCUCGCGCGGACGGAGCGGCCGAUGGCAGAUUAGGUAGUUGGUGGGGUAAAGGCCUACCAAGCCGAUGAUCUGUAGCUGGUCUGAGAGGACGACCAGCCACACUGGGACUGAGACACGGCCCAGACUCCUACGGGAGGCAGCAGUGGGGAAUUUUGGACAAUGGGCGCAAGCCUGAUCCAGCCAUGCCGCGUGCAGGAUGAAGGCCUUCGGGUUGUAAACUGCUUUUGUACGGAACGAAAAGGUUUCUUUUAAUACAGGGAACUGAUGACGGUACCGUAAGAAUAAGCACCGGCUAACUACGUGCCAGCCGCCGCUGUAACAC
rnacentral:rRNA from 1 species